AGUGUCCCGGGUCGAGUCGACCGCAUCCUGAGGGAUGCCAGGGAACUCCGGUGAGAUUCCGGGACUGGCGCGCAGCGGUGAGGGCGACGGCGACACGAUAACGCCACUGGAGAGCGCUUCUCUGGGAAGGCCGUGCCGCCGGUUGACCCCGAGUCCGAAGACCUGUCGGCUCACAUGCUCGUCG
rnacentral:ncRNA from 2 species